AGGGUUUGAUUAUGGCUCAGAACGAACGCUGGCGGCAUGGAUUAGGCAUGCAAGUUGAACGAACCACUUCGGUGGAGAGUAGCGGAAGGGUGAGGAACGCGUGAGUAAUCUGCCCCCAAGUUGGGAAUAACAGCUGGAAACGGCUGCUAAUACCGAAUGUGGCUAUUUUCUUGCAUGAGGAGAUGGCUAAAGAUUUAUCGCUUGGGGAUGAGCUCGCGUCCCAUUAGGUAGUUGGUGAGGUAACGGCCCACCAAGCCGAUGAUGGGUAGCUGGUCUGAGAGGAUGGUCAGCCACACUGGGACUGAGACACUGCCCAG
rnacentral:rRNA from 1 species